AAUCAUUAGAAGACCACGUACCUAUCUUACGUGAAAGAGCAGAUGUCUGAGAAAAAAGUACGAUGAUCAUGACUUUUUUAUAAGAUUAUAGGUUAUCACUUGCUAUGAAUGCACUUGCUAGGUCGUGAUGUCGCUGAAUUAUUCAAAAAUAGGAAGUCCUGCAUGUCCAUAAAUAUACAGACCAUAACA
rnacentral:lncRNA from 1 species